rnacentral:rRNA from 1 species
AUUGAACGCUGGCGGCAGGCCUAACACAUGCAAGUCGAGCGGAUGAAGGGAGCUUGCUCCUGGAUUCAGCGGCGGACGGGUGAGUAAUGCCUAGGAAUCUGCCUGGUAGUGGGGGAUAACGUCCGGAAACGGGCGCUAAUACCGCAUACGUCCUGAGGGAGAAAGUGGGGGAUCUUCGGACCUCACGCUAUCAGAUGAGCCUAGGUCGGAUUAGCUAGUUGGUGGGGUAAAGGCCUACCAAGGCGACGAUCCGUAACUGGUCUGAGAGGAUGAUCAGUCACACUGGAACUGAGACACGGUCCAGACUACUACGGGAGGCAGCAGUGGGGAAUAUUGGACAAUGGGCGAAAGCCUGAUCCAGCCAUGCCGCGUGUGUGAAGAAGGUCUUCGGAGUGUAAAGCACUUUAAGUUGGGAGGAAGGGCAGUAAGUUAAUACCUUGCUGUUUUGACGUUACCAACAGAAUAAGCACCGGCUAACUUCGUG